UAAUAAGUGUUUUUAUUAUGGCACUUUUUAAAUCCAUAUCCACCUUGUGUGCAAUGUCAGUCGAUCUUCUUCAUUUUGAGGAUCGACCCAAAACAUCAACCUUUAUUUUUUUAACUCUUUGUCUGAAAAAUAUUAUGAAUAAACAGUUCAAAAUA
rnacentral:misc_RNA from 1 species